CACGCCGUAAACUAUGGAUGCUAGCUGUUACUCAUAUCGACCUGAGUAGUAGCGAAGUUAACGCGUUAAGCAUCCCGCCUGGGGANAAGCGAAGAACCUUACCAAGGCUUGAAAUCCCGAUAGAGAUUUUCCGAAAGGAAAGUUGCAUUUAGUUGGAUCGGUGACAGGUGA
rnacentral:rRNA from 1 species